AUACGUAGGGAGCGAGCGUUGUCCGGAAUUACUGGGUGUAAAGGGAGCGUAGGCGGGAGGGCAAGUCAGAUGUGAAAUACAUGGGCUCAACCCAUGGGCUGCAUUUGAAACUGCAUUUCUUGAGUGAAGUAGAGGUAAGCGGAAUUCCUGGUGUAGCGGGUAAAUGCGUAGAUAUCAGGAGGAACACCGGUGGCGAAGGCGGCUUACUGGGCUUUUACUGACGCUGAGGCUCGAAAGCGUGGGGAGCAAACAGGAUUAGAUACCCUGGUAGUCCACGCUGUAAACGAUGAUUACUAGGUGUGGGGGGACUGACCCCUUCCGUGCCGCAGUUAACACAAUAAGUAAUCCACCUGGGGAGUACGGCCGCAAGGUUGAAACUCAAAUGAAUUGGCGGGG
rnacentral:rRNA from 1 species